AGACUGGAGAAAAAGGUAUUGCUUGCGGGCAGCCCUACUCUCGAGUGCCGCCUUGUGGCCAAGCUCGGAACCUCAGCGAGGUACUUGGAAAUCCGCGGCUCAGCUCCAAGGCUGAAUGCCACCCGCACAAAAGAACUCCUGUUGACAUCUCAUUUACAAUCUCCCCCCAGGACACAGACAAGACCAUUUCAAUAAACCCGGCUCAGAGACACCUAUUGUUCGGAAUCUUCAACUAGCAACAGGCUUCCACCACAACCUAUUGUUUUGUAAAAUAAAGGAUUUUGAAGGAGAAGGAUUGAGACUGGACGCCAUGAAAAGAGGAAGGAAAAAAGUCCCUUUGACCUGAUGCUGUCACAGAGCGUGCAAGAAGAAUGAAGUUAAUGGAUUUCCAUUUUUAUAAGAAGUGCAUAAGAAACGCCUGUUAAGUUUCUGAACUCGUGAUGGAGAAUUCCAAAUUUGCUGCCAGCUUGGUGCAUCAAGAAGCAAACUCCUGCCCACGGGUUUGCUAAAUGCAAAGCCCCGGGCUAUACUUACCCUAUUCUCAGCCUUACCAAAGUCCUGAUAGCCCCGAUAGCAGAGCACCAGCUUGCCUUUAUUUUGUAGAAAAUUUGUCAGAAAAUUGUGAUAAGAAGAAAUUGACUUCAAAGUGCAUUCUAACAAAGAAAAAAAAGUCACUACUGUAAUUCUGUAUAAAAGGACCUCAAUGCUGUUGACUUUUCCAAGCAGCCAUGACUUUGGGGGAUGGUGAGCCCCUUCCUAGAUUUGGAGGCUGAGUCUUGUUUGAUGGGAAGAUUGAUGGGAAUGCUUCUGGGAAGGAUCACCCCCAUAUCCCUUUUCUUCCUCUGGAUACUGUCAUCACCAA